UACGAGGGGUGCAAGCGUUGCUCGGAAUUAUUGGGCGUAAGGGCAAGUAGGUGGUCUCAUUUGUCUGGGGUGAAAGCCUUGAGCUUAACUCAAGAAGUGCCCCGGAAACGGUGAGACUCGAGUAUUGGAGAGGGUCGUGGAAUUCCCGGUGUAGCGGUGGAAAUGCGUAGAGAUCAGGAGGAACACCCGUGGCGAAAGCGGCUCUCUGGGACGGUACUGACGGCUGAGACGCGAAAGC
rnacentral:rRNA from 1 species